UACGGAGGGUGUAAGCGUUGUCCGGAUUUAUUGGGUUUAAAGGGUGCGUAGGCGGCUAAUUAAGUCAGCGGUGAAAUUCCACAGCUCAACUGUGUGAACUGCCAUUGAUACUGGUUGGCUUGAGUACAGAUGAGGUAGGCGGAAUUGACAGUGUAGCGGUGAAAUGCUUAGAUAUUGUCAAGAACACCUAUUGCGAAGGCAGCUUACUAAACUGUAACUGACGCUGAGGCACGAAAGCGUGGGGAUCAAACAGG
rnacentral:rRNA from 1 species